AUGCAGUCAUGAAUUUACUCGUUAGAGUUGUAUAUUACCAUUGCAAAAUUUUACCGCUUCUCAUUCUUUCUGGAUCGCCUUAUAAGCUGUAACAUUAUUUUUAAAAAAUAUAAAAAAGCUCUAUCAACAGAAUAUUAUUUUAAAAAGGAAAGGAGAGAUGGAAAUAAAUAGAAAGAUUUUUCUAUUAAUAAUGCUAAUGCUGGCUGCCUCUUGGGGUCUUAGUAUUCCAAUUCAAAGUGAAAGACAAGAAGAUGCAGGAAGACUUAAUGACAGAAUUGAUAUUCAAGGAGGAAGGAUUGGUGGAUUUCUUUUUGUAAAUGGACCUCGGCGCCGAAAUCGAAGGCCACCGCAGGCUCUUUUAAGGGAUCGAAAUGUUUGAAAAGAAAUUUUCGAACUUUUAAAUCGACUUCACCUUAAAACUAUCAUUUGAAUGGAUUGAUUUUUGCAAAAAAUACUCUAAUAUGACUGUUAUUUUCUUGGAGAGAGAGAGAGAGAGAGAGAGAGAGAGAGAGAGCAUAUACGAGUAGUAAAUUUACUUAUCUUGUCCUUGGUUAUUUGCAAAAUUUUCUUGUUUAAAUAUUUUCUAAUUGCAUGUUCACAAAGGUACUCCAUUAUGAUAAAAGUUAAUAGAUGCUU